GUCAGAUUUCGUUCUUCACUUGUUUCUCCGUGCAAGGAUCACAGAGCUGCAGUGGAACCAAUAGUUCCCUUGUCAUCACAAAGGGUUGACAUGUGUGAAAAUAUCGAGUUGGGUCUUGCAUGACUGAAGCUUUUGGAAUACAUACUCGGUGGCAUAUAGGAGCUCAUUCUCAUUGAGAUACCUCAUUGUGUUUUAUCUAAGAAUCAAACCAACCUUUGGGUGAAACCAACCUUUUGGUUAAUGACAGUUUUACUUUUCUUUAACAUGUAUGCUGCGUAAAAUUAUGAAGUUAGCUUUCGUGCUGCAAAACUGCUGUGUAUUUGCAUGCUUCAAUGUUACAUAUAUACCACAUCAAUGGAUGUCCAAACCAAAUGAGGUUCAUGGCCCUUUAUGAUCCACACUUUGAUUUACAAGCAAUCAUUAUUAAGAUUUAAUACUGUUUGCAAGAUAUGUUUGGUGAUAUAUUUUUUUGAAAGAUGAGAAAAACCUGUAACAAAUUUUGGUGUCACAAUGACAUGCUAAUAGUUCUACUUAAGUACAUUCAGUGUGAUUGAUUUUCAUUUGAAGCAAAGCCAUAUUAGUGUUGUGUACAGUUUGUUUUUUAUCACUUUACCAGCCUACAGUCUGUGGACACACACUUUCUUCUCCAAUCCCAUAGAAAUUUGGGGUUAUUUAUUGAGGCAAGAUAUUGAAAAUUGUGAAACGGCAAUGUAGCACACUGCGAUUUUCAAUGGGUAUCAUCCCUGUUUACAGUUUUUUGAUUAUUAAACUUUUAGAUUGCUUGGCUUGUCCUUACCUUCAGCAGACAAAAUAGUAAGUACUUUUGAUAAGCACAUAUAAAACAACAGAAAUUAUCCCAUCUCUUGGAACUAGGGGAACAGGAUCGGUAAUCGGGAUAUAGAAAACUUUUCCCAUAUAUGUCGUAGCUCGUAUAUAUACUUGACACUGAGUCCAUACAGAAUGAAGUAUACGAACUAUCGAUGUCGCAGAACUAUUAGUUCUGUCAGAAGUGGUUACCAUUUUAUCUCUUGAAGGCCAGCCAUUUAGUCUCCAUAUAAUCCUAUGGUUUUCUCAAAUGAAUUCUCCAUUUGAUAUAAUUAUGAAGUUGUCAUUUUAACGCCAUAGAUUUGUGACAUAGUAAGUUGAAACUAUUCCAUCUCUUACUACUUCAACUCCUGUUAAUACCUAUUGUUUUUCUUUAUCCCUUUGCUUAUUUCUCAAAUCUUGUACAUUUUCUAAGUAGCACACAUAUGGGAGUUAUUUCAAUAUUUCAAAACAUUAACUAUACUAUUUCCCAUGUAGAUUCAUUAUUCAGGGUAAUAAUUUUGAUGUGCUGGUUCUACUGCUGCACAUAUUUUUACUGAGAAAUAGUUUAACUAAAAGCUAUGCUUAAUUGAAAAUCCUAGCUUAUUAUGUAUUAAUAAAAAAAAUUGUGAGCUAAUUAGUAUAUCUGGGCGUAGUUACACCACCAGUUAUAAACACUGGCAGUUCAAUUUUCAAAUGAUGUACUUCAGAUUCUGUGAAACUAAUUAAUGAGAUAAUUAAUAUUCAGUUUCAGAAGUA